GACGAACGCUGGCGGCAUGCCUAAUACAUGCAAGUCGAGCGAACAGAUGAAGUGCUUGCACUUCUGACGUUAGCGGCGAACGGGUGAGUAACACGUAAGGAAUCUACCUAUAAGCGGGGGAUAACAUUCGGAAACGGGUGCUCAUACCGCAUAAUAUCUUCUUCCGCAUGGAAGAAGAUUGAAAGACGGCUCCGCUGUCACUUAUAGAUGACCUUGCGGUGCAUUAGUUAGUUGGUGGGGUAAUGGCCUACCAAGACGAUGAUGCAUAGCCGACCUGAGAGGGUGAUCGGCAACAUUGGGACUGAGACACGGCCCAAACUCCUACGGGAGGCAGCAGUAGGGAAUCUUCCGCAAUGGGCGAAAGCCUGACGGAGCGAUGCCGCGUGAGUGAAGAAGGCCUUCGGGUCGUAAAACUCUGUUAUAAGAGAAGAACAAAUUGUAGAGUAACUGCUACAGUCUUGACGGUAUCUUAUCAGAAAGCUACGGCUAACUACGUGCCAGCCGCCGCGGUAA
rnacentral:rRNA from 1 species